GGUUCUUUCUGGGUUAUUAAAAGGAAGAAAAAGACGGGUAAUGUUUCCCGGAUUUGAGCUUAGAGGAUUUUUUUUUUAUCGUUAAACGGAGGCGUGAGGGCUGUCGCUGACCUUCCCCGUUUUUUUCACGCCCGAGCCCUCUCACAAUCCACCUCACCCACCCUUUGUGCAUCACCGCGUGGGUCCCCCUUUGCCGGAGGGCCCGCGUCUUUACACAAAACUCGAUACAGUGUAGAAUGUUUAUUUUUGCGGUCACACGCGAUCAAUAAUACAACUUUCAACAACGGAUCUCUUGGCUCUCGCAUCGAUGAAGAACGCAGCGAAAUGCGAUACGUAAUGUGAAUUGCAGAAUUCAGUGAAUCAUCGAAUCUUUGAACGCACCUUGCGCCCCUUGGCAUUCCGAGGGGCACACCCGUUUGAGUGUCGUGAAAUCUUCAAAAACCCUCUCUUUUGAGGAUUUUUUGGACUUGGAGGUUUAAUGCUCGCUUUCGCCUUUUCGGAAAGCGAGCUCCUCUCAAAUGAAUCAGUGGGGUCUGCUUUGCCGGUCCUUGACGUGAUAAGAUCUUUCUACGUUUCGGAUCCGACAUCGUCCCGCUUCCAAUCGUCCCAUGGACAAAAAGAUGGUGCUCCGAUCGCGGGUCAUCGCUCGCGGCGGACCCACGAAAGUUCGUUUGACUCAAUCGGGUAGACUACCACGUGG
rnacentral:misc_RNA from 1 species